GAUGAACGCUGGCGGCGUGCCUAAUACAUGCAAGUCGAGCGAACAGACGAGGAGCUUGCUCCUCUGACGUUAGCGGCGGACGGGUGAGUAACACGUGGAUAACCUACCUAUAUGACUGGUAUAACUUCGGGAAACCGGAUCUAAUACCGGAUAAUAUAUUGAACCGCAUGGUUCAAUAGUGAAAGACGGUUUUGCUGUCACUUCUAGAUGGAUCCGCGCCGCAUUAGCUAGUUGGUAAGGUAACGGCUUACCAAGGCAACGAUGCGUAGCCGACCUGAGAGGGUGAUCGGCCACACUGGAACUGAGACACGGUCCAGACUCCUACGGGAGGCAGCAGUAGGGAAUCUUCCGCAAUAGGCGAAAGCCUGACGGAGCAACGCCGCGUGAGUGAUGAAGGUCUUCGGAUCGUAAAACUCUGUUAUUAGGGAAGAACAAAUGUGUAAGUAACUAUGCACGUCUUGACGGUACCUAAUCAGAAAGCCACGGCUAACUACGUG
rnacentral:rRNA from 1 species